GUGGGGAAUAUUGGGCAAUGGGGGAAACCCUGACCCAGCAACGCCGCGUGAAGGAAGAAGGUUUUCGGAUCGUAAACUUCUAUCCUUGGUGAAGAUAAUGACGGUAGCCAAGAAGGAAGCCCCGGCUAACUACGUGCCAGCAGCCGCGGUAAUACGUAGGGGGCAAGCGUUGUCCGGAAUGAUUGGGCGUAAAGGGCGCGUAGGCGGCCUGGUAAGUCUGGAGUGAAAGUCCUGCUUUUAAGGUGGGAAUUGCUUUGGAUACUGUCGGGCUUGAGUGCAGGAGAGGUAAGCGGAAUUCCCGGUGUAGCGGUGAAAUGCGUAGAGAUCGGGAGGAACACCAGUGGCGAAGGCGGCUUACUGGACUGUAACUGACGCUGAGGCGCGAAAGUGUGGGAGCAAACAGGAUUAGAAACCCUGGUAGUCC
rnacentral:rRNA from 1 species